GGUUCUGAUGAGACUGUCUGGUUUGAUUGAAAUAAUGUAAUGAGUAUGAGCCUACUUAAUCUUUUAAAAUGUAUCAGUUUUCAACACCCUGUACUUUUUAAGUAAGUAUAUAUGUACUUACCUAUCUAACUCUGUUAUCUUGGAUGCGUAACUUGAUAUGCGGGUCCAUACCUAGAAUUCUUGUACAUAUACUGCACCAAAUGGUUUAUUUUACACUAAGCUGAUUAACUAUUAGCUAGUUGUACCUCCAUAAUCCAUUGUAAUUUAAUAAUCCACAGAUCAAAAUGACCCGUUUUUGUAUAUUAUUCCUGGUGGUUUACUUGGUGAUAAAAUGUGAAUAUUCAGCCGGAAAUUCAAUACCUACGAAGUAUCAAAAUGCUAACACAAAAGAAAUUAAAAUUCAGCGUGAUUUAAAUGAAAACGAAUUUUCAAAUAAAAAUGUUGAGGAUGCUGAAGAGGAUGUGAUCGAAAGUGAUUUAGUUGAAAGCGACAAAACCAAACUGGAAAACGAUUUUCCACUUUCCACGGCUAAUGAAAACAAAGGUGAAGAAAAACCAUGCGUUCCGGUCGGACAAUUUUGUGUUGGCCAUUCUGAUUGCUGCAGUAAGUCGUGUUUGGGAUACCUGAAACGAUGCGUUUCAUAAUUACAUAUAAUUAUGUGCUAUUUCUAAGUCUACAAGAGUAUUUCAUGUUAACAUCUUAUUCUUACCUAAAAGAAAUACCUGUAUAGAAGCAGAUUGUAAGGCAUAACAUGAUAAAAUCAAUGCCUAAUUGGGUGGAAGGGAUGAUUUAAAUUGGAUAAAUCUGGAGGGUGAGCAGAAAACUGUUUCAGUUCCUUCAUGGCAUCUUCAGAAAUCUUCCACAGGUCAGGGUAAUUCCUCUUGAAGUCAUUGUACCAUUUAUGAACCUGAAUAAAUAAAAUAUGUUUGUUA